AUGGGCCCUUGUGCGGAGGGAGCUGCCCCUGGGCGACUGGGCAGGAGGAGCCUAAGAUUCCCACCCCUGCCCUUGCAGAGACUGGAGUCAGAAACGGAUGACUAUUCCCUAGCUCAGAGUGAGGGAAUGGAUAUAAAUAAUGGAAACCACCGAAUGAAUAAAUCAAUAACAAGCCGACGCAUAAACCCACGAGCGGCCCCGGCCGCUGGUGGGUUGCCUCGAUCCGGGCCCGGCAACUCAUCAGGGAAGGCCUCCUGGAGGCGGUGGUUUGGUCAUUGGAGGGAGGCGCCGGAGGCAGGGCGAGGCCACCAUUGGGGGGGUCCCCAGGGGCUGGUCAGCAGAGUGAGGGCGGCCCCUUCCCCGGCCACACCCCCGCCCAUCGCCCCGGGACCUCAACAGGUGCCACCUGGCCCGAGCGGGGGCGGGGGGCGGUGCCAGGGCGGGCACCGCCCUCUCCCGCACCGCGUCUCCUCUCGCCGCCCCCCGCCCCCUCCCCGCUCCGGCCGCACCGCACAGCGCUCCCUGCGGCCCUCCCUCUGGCCCUCUGUCCGUCCGUCCUCCCGCCGCCAUGGAGCCGGACCCCGGACCCCCCGGACCCCCCGGACCCCCCGGACCCCCCGGGCCUCCCGGACCCCCCGGGCCCCCCGGACCGCCCUCCCCGCCCGGGGAGCAGGGCGACCGGCUCCGGCUCAGCGAAAGCGGACAGUCCGGCGAUGGCCUCGAGGGCAGAGGUGGGAGACCCCGCUCGGACCCCCGGACCCUGCUUCCCCUCCUUCUCCCCACGCCUCCUUCCCCACCCCUUUCCCUCUCCCCUUCGUCCUCAGCUCCAUCCCCUCCUCCUCCCUCCCCUCUCCCCAUCUCCUUCCCUUAGUCUCCCGCUUCCCCGUCUCCCCUUCCCCAUCUCCCCUUCCCCAUCUCCCCUCUCCCCACCUCCCCUCUCCUUCCCUCCGUCUCCCCCUCUCCCCGUCUCUCCUCUCCCCAUCUCCUUCCCUCCGUCUACCUCCUCCCCAUCUCCCUUCUCCCCAUCUCCCCUCUCCCCAUCUCCCUUCUCCCCAUCUUCCCCCUCCCCAUCUUCCCCCUCCCCAUCUUCCCCCUCCCCAUCUUCUCCCGCCCCAUCUUCCCCCUCCCCAUCUUCCCCCUCCCCAUCUUCCCCCUCCCCAUUCCCUCUCUCCCCAUUCCCUCUCUCCCCAUUCCCUCUCUCCCCAUUCCCUCUCUCCCCAUUCCCUCUCUCCCCAUCUCCUCUCUCCCCAUCUCCUCUCUCCCCAUCUCCUCUCUCCCCAUCUCCUCUCUCCCCAUCUCCCCUCUCCUCAUCUCCCCUCUCCCCAUCUCCUUUCCCCACCUUCCCUCUCCCCAUCUUACCUCUCUACAUCUCCCCCCCAUCUCCCCCCUCCC
rnacentral:lncRNA from 1 species